rnacentral:rRNA from 1 species
GCAGUCUGACCAGCCAUGCCGCGUGGAGGAUUAAGGCCCUCUGGGUUGUAAACUCCUUUUAUCUGGGAAGAAAUGUACUUUUUCUUGAGUACUUGACGGUACCAGAGGAAUAAGCACCGGCUAACUCCGUGCCAGCAGCCGCGGUAAU